rnacentral:rRNA from 1 species
GGUGGCGAGUGGCGAACGGGUGAGUAAUGCAUCGGAACGUGUCUUUAAGUGGGGGAUAACGCAUCGAAAGGUGUGCUAAUACCGCAUAAUCUCUGAGGAGAAAAGCAGGGGAUCAUAAGACCUUGCGCUUUUAGAGCGGCCGAUGUCUGAUUAGCUAGUUGGUGAGGUAAAGGCUCACCAAGGCUCCGAUCAGUAGCUGGUCUGAGAGGACGACCAGCCACACUGGGACUGAGACACGGCCCAGACUCC